UCGGAAGGAUCAUUACCGAGUGCGGGUCCUUUGGGCCCAACCUCCCAUCCGUGUCUAUUGUACCCUGUUGCUUCGGCGGGCCCGCCGCUUGUCGGCCGCCGGGGGGGCGCCUCUGCCCCCCGGGCCCGUGCCCGCCGGAGACCCCAACACGAACACUGUCUGAAAGCGUGCAGUCUGAGUUGAUUGAAUGCAAUCAGUUAAAACUUUCAACAAUGGAUCUCUUGGUUCCGGCAUCGAUGAAGAACGCAGCGAAAUGCGAUAACUAAUGUGAAUUGCAGAAUUCAGUGAAUCAUCGAGUCUUUGAACGCACAUUGCGCCCCCUGGUAUUCCGGGGGGCAUGCCUGUCCGAGCGUCAUUGCUGCCCUCAAGCCCGGCUUGUGUGUUGGGUCGCCGUCCCCCUCUCCGGGGGGACGGGCCCGAAAGGCAGCGGCGGCACCGCGUCCGAUCCUCGAGCGUAUGGGGCUUUGUCACAUGCUCUGUAGGAUUGGCCGGCGCCUGCCGACGUUUUCCAACCAUUCUUUCCAGGUUGACCUCGGAUCAGGUAGGGAUACCCGCUGAACUUAAGCAUAUCAAU
rnacentral:rRNA from 1 species